UUUUUUUUUUUUGUUCUUUCCAACUUUUAUUUUAGGUUCGGGGGUACACAUGCACUUUGUUGUGUGGGUGAAUUGCAUGUCAAAGGAGUUCGUUGUACAGAUUAUUUUGUUAUUCAGGUAAUGAGCAUAGUACCCAAUUGGUAGUUUUUCCAUCCUUAUCCUCCUCCCAUCCUCCACCCUCAAGUAGGCCAGAUGUCUAAUAUCUGUUCUUUGUGUCCAAUAUGUACUCAGUGUUUAGCUUCCACUUGUAAGUAAGAACACAGAGUAUUUGGUUUUAUUAUUCACUUAGGAUCAUGGCCUCCAGCUCUGUCUAUGUUUUUGCAAAGGACAUAAUCUCAUUCUUUUUUAUGGCUAUAUAGUACUACAUGUUGUAUAUGUACCACAUUUUCUUUAUCCAGUCCUCCAUUGAUGGGCAUUUCGGUUGAUUCUAUGUCUUUGCUAUUGUAAAUACUUCUUCAGUGAGUAUAACACAUACACAUGUCUUUAUGAUAGAAUGAUUUCUAUUUCUUUGGGCAUAUUCCCAGUAAUGGGAUUGCUGGGUUGAAUGACAGUUUGUUUUAAGCUCUUUAAGAAAUCUCUAAACUGUUUCCACAGUGACUGAACUGAUUUAUAUUUCUCACCAACAGUGUAUAAGUGUUCCAUUUUCUCUGCAGCCUCACCAGUAUCUGUUAUUUUUUUACUUUUUAACAGUAGCCAUUCUAACUGGUAUGAGAUGGUAUCUUGCUCUGAUUUUGAUUUGCAUUUCUCUGAUGAUUAGUGAUGUUGAGAAUUUUUCAUAGGCUUGUUGGCCAUGUGUAUGUCUUCUUUUGAGAAGUGUGUGUUUAUGUCCUUUGCCUAUUUUUUUAAAUAGGGUUUUUUGGGUUUUGCUUGUUGACUUAUUUAAGUUCUUAUAGAUUCUGGAUAUUAGACUUCUGUUGGAUGCAGUUUGCAAAUAUUUUCUCCUAUUCUAUAAGUUGUCCCUUUAUGCUGUUGAUAGUUUAUUUUGCUGUGGAGAAGCUCUUUACUUUAAUUCUCAGUUGUCAAUUUUCGUUUUUGUUGCAAUUGCUUUUACAGUCUUUCUCAUGAAAUCUUUGCCAAGACCUAUGUCCAGAAUGGUAUUUCUGAGGUUUUCUUCUAGGGUUUUUAUAAAAAGAUGAAAUGCUUCAGGAAUUUGCAUGUCAUCCUUGUUCAGAAACCAUACUAAUUCUUCUCUGUAUCAUUCCAAUUCUAUUAUAUGUGCUGCCAAAGCAAACACCAUUGAGGAUUCUUGAGCAGGGUAACAUGAUACAAUAUAGAAAAUGGGGAUUUGGGUGUGUGGUACACACCUAUAAUCCCAGCUAUUCAGGAGGCUGAGGCAGGAGGGUCUAGGAGUUUGAGACCAGCUAGGGCAACACAGUGAGACUUUGUCUCACAAAUGAGUGAAUGAAUGAAUAAAAGAAUCAAAAAAGUGGUAUUAGAGGAAUAUACUUCAGGGAUUGUGACAGUUACAGAAUCUCCUGCAACUAUCAUUGUGGUCAGCACAAUGGGGUCUUCAACCCAAUGAUCACCUCCCCAUUUUAUCCUUCUCCAUCAGCCUUCUUCUCGCUUCACUUCCUGUCUUUCCCAGCUUUAUAACCACACUCCAUUAUUAGUCUGUCUCCUGCAAAAAUCCUGAAGUCCUUUCCCCUUCAUCCUAUCAUUACUCCUUACAAUAUACUCGAACAUAGCUUGACUCUGUCCCCACCAAAAAUCUCAUUUUGAAUUAUAAUUCUCAUAAUCCUCAUGUGUCAAGGGUGGGACUAGGUGGAGGUGACUGGAUCAUGGGGGCAGUUUUCCCCAUGCUGUUCUCAUGAUAGUGAGUGAGUCUCAUGAGAGCUGAUGGUUUUAUAAGUGUCUGGCACAUGCUGCUCUGUGAGGAAGGUGACUGCUUCUCCUUUGCCUUCUGCCAUGACUGCAAGUUUUCUGAGGCCUCCUCAGCCAUGUGGAACUAUGAGUCAUUUAAACGGUCUUUCUGAGCUGGGAUCUAGCAGCCGUCUCCAUGGAGUCACCGAUUCCCAGGGGACUGAGCCCAGCCAGUUUGGCCAUGGCAGCCGCCAUUACUGUGGCGAAUCUGGCCCCUAUGCUCCCUGCCCAUCACUGAGCAGCAUUAAGCAGCCACCCACCUUUCCUCCAGUUCAUGCCACUGAGGCCCAUGCUCCGUGCAAGUUUCUGCUGCUGAAGCAGGAGGACGGAUGUGAGGAGUCAGGCAUCCCCGGCCCUCUGACCCACGAUGUGGGGGUACUUUCUGGCCCUGGAGGCCUGUGGCUGAGACAGCCCCGGCCAAGCCCUCAGCUUCCCUGCCGGCCCAGAUUAUUCAGCAUGGCUCCCUGGUAAUUCAUCACUGUGGCAGGCCACAACUGUUCCAUUUAACCAUCGAAGUAACCAUAUCAGGAGACACAGUGUAGCUUCUGACAGUGGAGACACUGGCAUUGGAACUUCCUGUUCUGAUAGUGUGAAAGAUCUUUCAACUUCAAGUGGCACAUUAUCUUUUAGGCCCAGUCAAUCACUGGUUACUCUUCCUACUGCCCAUGUGAUGCCAUCUAAUUCCAGAGCUUCAAUUUCCAAACUUAGGAAAUCAUUGAUACCAGAUGGCUCAAAAUGGAGUACAAGCCUUAUGCAAAAAUUGGGAAAGCACAGUAGGGAGAGCAUGACUUUAACUAGACAUGAAGGACUUCUGGCCACUUCAGAAAUGGUCAUCUUUUCUGAACUCACUUCCCUGGAUAACUGUGGGCAGGAUAGCACGUUUCACAGACAAGAAUCAAGGAAUGGUUUGGAAAAGACAGGGAGGGGUAAGGCUUUAAUAUCACAACUGAGGACAGUCGGGCCUAGCUGUUUACAUGAUAGUAUGGAGAUGCUCAAGUUAGACAAGGAUAUAAAUUUAAAAAGGUCAUCAACUUUAGACUGCAAAUAUAAAUUUGAGAGUUGUAGCAAGGAAAACUUCAGAGCCUCUUCCUCUACUCUGAGGGGACAGACUGUAGACAUGACAUAUAGUGCCUUACCUGAAAGCAAGCUCAUUAUGACAAGUUCAGAGGCCUUUGAACCUCCAAAAUAGUUAAUGCUUGGUCAACAAUCAGUAGGUGGAGUUCCCAUUCAGCCUUCUGUAAGGACUCAGUUGUGGCUUACAGAGCAGCUGCGGACAAAUCCUUUGGAAGGUAGAACUGCAGAAGAUUCUUACAGUUUAGCUCCUUGGCAACAGCAGCAAAUUGAAGAGUUUUAGCAAGGAAGGGAACACCAAUGAAGGUAAGGCUCAAAAUCUAGUGUUUGCUUCCCUCCAGUGGAUGUUAUGAGUACAAUAGCACACUUGCAGUAAGCAUAUGACAAGUGUCCACAGAUAGUUUUGCUUUUCCCGGCACAUUAAUAAGCAGAAAUGUUACCUGAAAAAUGUUGUGUUGAUAAACAAAACUUACACAGUGUUUGAGACUAAUUAACAUGAAAAUCUUGAAACCUUGUGCUUAACUUGUUCUUUCCUUUUCAUUUGUUAAAUGGGCAUGAAAAUAAAGCAAAACAUACUCAAUCUAAAGAAACUUGGAAACAGAAACAAAAAAGCUAUAAUAGGUUUAAUAGAAAGGGUGCAUCAACUUGGCCAUAUAAGGUCUUAGAUUUUGUUUUUGGUUCCAUUUAGAACCUGGAUGAUUUUUGUCACUUAAUUUCUCUAGGCCUCAGUUUCUUCAUCUGUACUGUGAGAAGGUAGAACUACAGUCAUUUGUGAAGUUUUGGUGAUUGAUAAUGUAUUUAGGUUUGUAAAUCAGAUAUACUUAUUUUUAUAAAUUAUGUGUCAAGACUUAUUCAUUAAUCAGUUUUAUAGAAAGAACUGUAUGAUGAUAUCCUAUAUAAAGAAAAAUAGUAUACAGCCUUAAUUGGUCUAGGGAAUAGCAUGUAAAUGUGUAAAUUUCUUAAUCUGGGAGUGUUUCUAUUUCAAGAUAAUUUCCUGUAGCUUGUUUUAACUAGGAAACUAAUUUUCUGAUAGAAAUACUGUUAUGUCAUCUUUUUUUAAUCAGAAUUUUCUCAAACAAUUCUAUUAAAAAUUUCAAAUUUUCCCUAGAGUAAAAAAUGUAAAAUUGCUAUUCAUUACUACUACUAAUAAAAAUAAAUAGAGUAAAUGAACAUAGUCUAUGAAAGGAUAGGGAAAUCAUUUAUCCAGGAACCUCACAAAUCUGAGUAUGAUUCCAAAACAUAGAACCUAACAUGCUACAUUCAUAAGAGAACACUUAACAUGUUGCAUGUGCCUUCUUUAUUCUUAUUUUAGACCCAGUUCUUAUAAUUUUGAUUGUGUACUUAAACCACAUAAUCAAAACAGAAGAAUCACUUAUGAUCAAAUUACAAAUUUGUGAUUUAUCCAUUCAAGUGAUUAAAAGUAGGAAACCUAAUUUUUCAAAUACUAUCACUUUUUAGUUUUCAAAUGUUUGUUAUUACAGGAAAACUGAGAUCAGGCAGUUGUUUCUCCAGCUGGUAUCUUUGCCUAGAAUUAGAGCUACCCAGUGGGUCUGAGUGUACUAUUCCAAACUAGAGUAGGUGUGAUAGAUAACUGAGAAAAUUGGGCAUGCCUUUUUUUCUGCUUGGACAAAUUUCUGCUUUAAACAAGGUGUUUUUCUUAACCUUAAAGCAGUGCAGAAGAGGGUAUGGAGGUUGCGGACACACUGUAGAGAAAAAUUUGUUUUUAAAUCUUCUUCCUGGUACAUAGUAGAGAGAGAAGGCUACUAACAAGUGAAAUUUAUGUAUCCCUGGAAAGUCGUACUUGUUGAUUAACUUUAUAGUGCUUUUAAAAGUUUUGGAGUAGAAAGAUGAAUUCAGGUAAAGAAAACUAGACAAACUUAAGUUGUAAUGAUUAAAUGACUGCUUUCCUUCUAAUUUCCUCCUUGGAAAACUACAGAAAAAAGUUGUUAAAUACCUUCUUGGAGCCUCCAGUAAUAUUCUCUUUAUUUUAAAAGGUUUCAUCAUACUUGUUUCUUAAAAGCCUCUUUGAAACAUUGACUUCCAUCCAGGCACUAUAACUCAUGCCUGUAAUCCCAGCACUUUGGGAGGCCAAGGCAGGAGGAUCGCCUGAGUCCAGGAGUUUGAGACCAGCCUGGGCAACAUGGUGGUGAUGUACUCCUGUAGUGCCAGAUUCUUGGGAACCAAAGUUGGAGAAUCUCUCGUGCCCCAAGAGUUCAAGGCUGCAGUGAACAAUGAUCGUGUGUCUGCAUUCCAGCCUGCAUGACAGAGUAACCACCCUGUCUGUUGAUAAAAAAAAACUGAUAAAAUAAAUUAAGGUAAAAUGACUUGUUUUUUGUCUAACAUGAAAUAAUAAUGAAAAAGUUUUAUAAUUUGGGAGUGUUUUAUGUAUUCUGUUAUGUCCUCUGAAAAUAAAGUUUUCUUAUUUAAAAAAAUAGAAAUAAAAAAAUAAACAGUUAUUUCUGUUACAAAUUACCCGGUCUUGGGCAUUUCUUCAUAGCAGGCUGAGAACAGACUAAUACUUUUCCAUCACCAAAUUUCAUCAUUGCCACUUUCAAAAUGUAUCUUAAAUGCAUCUGAUUCAGCCUGUCUCCUCCCUCAUUCUUGCCACUGUUGAGUCCUCUUACUUGUUUCCUCACAUCCACUCUUGACUCCCUUUCAAGCCACUCUUCUCUCCGCACCCAGAGGAAUGUUUUUGAAAUAUCCCUCCAAGCAUGUUGUUCUUCUAACUAAAUUGUGUCAGUGAUGACCCAUUGCUCUUGGGGUAGAAAUGUAAUUUUUUGCUGUGGCCCACAAGGGUUUUCAUGGUUUAUCCCCUGCCUGCCUCACCAGCAUCCUGUCACAGCACUCUCCACUUUGUUCUUUACAUCCUGGCCUGCUUUUGGUCUUACACUUCCUGUAGGCUAAACAUCUGUCAGCCUCGGGGCUUCUGCACUGAGAUUUUCCUCUAUGUGAAACACUUUUCUCUCUUUCAAUUAGCCAUGUCUUUCCUAACCUAAGGCCUCAGCUUAAAUGCCAUUUUGCCAGGAAAGCCUUCCUUGAGGUCCUAAACUAGGUUUGGUCUUCCUAUUAUAUAUUUAUAUCCCAUAUUUUAUAGUAGUUACAUUUAUCAUUUAAAUUAUUGUGUAAUUAUCUGCUUCAUGUUUGUCUCCCCAUUAGAGCUAUUAGGUCAUAAGUGCCAUGAGGGUGGAAAUUAUCUCUCUCAUUAACUGCCUGGCAAAGCUCCCAAUACAAAGUUUAUACUUAAUAAACAUUUGUUGACUGGGUUAAAUUAUGCAUAAAGGCAGGUUAUAACAAUAUGAGUUUAGGAAGAUUAUUGUGGAAAUUAGAAAAAAGAAGCAAAUAAAGUGAACAUUGUAAGGAAAUAAUCAGAGAUUGCUAUUGGAUGAUCCAUGGAAAAAGAUAAUCUCACUUCACAAACAUAUAAGGAGUAGGCAAAAAUACUUUUUUUGCCCCUUGGAGCAAAACCCUGAAAGCAAGAUCCUAACAAGUUAAGGAAUGCCUCCCACAGAGAUUAGAAAGACAAAUACUCCAUAAGAAAAAGCUGAGAGAUGGAAGCUCAGUUCUGAAGCCUGAGUUUCAUCCAUGGUCAUAAGCAUCAAUUUUAAGCAGAAUUAAAGCCUCAUUAAAGAAGCCUAAGAAACAUGUUACUUUUUCCAGAUAUUUGACAUUGACCCAAGGUCAGAACUGGUUUCCCACCAUAUACACUAUAACAUUCUUGUCUUUCUCUUUCAUUUAGGGGCCGUUAAGUUUAAUGAUGGCCUGAGCUUAGAGGAGAGUUGCCGCCUUAUUGAAGCUGUGUCCUUGUGCCAGCUGUGAUUCCAGUGUGCUCAUGGGAGACCUUCUAUGUUGCCAUUAGCUGACAUAGACCACUUGGAGCAGGAAAAACACGUACAUUAAUGACUAAUAGGAGCAGAAGGGAGCAAAGUUUAUCUUCACUUUCUUUUCUGGCUUUUACUAUCCAGCUGUAAUCUGUCUUAAUCCUUUCCAAAAUAGGGGAGUUUUGCAAAAUCUGCAUUGGAAGUUUCACAUAAAGCCUCACCUAUUUUCAUCUUCCAGCUCAAAUCCAAAUGACACUUAGACUGAACUGUUAGGUCAUUCACAUAAUGGCUUUGUAUUUUAAAACUUAACAAAUGUACAGACUUACAUAUCCUGAAUACCUGUGGCCUGCUGGCUCUAGGUUUGAUAAGAUGCAGUUCUCCCUGAAGCUACUGAAAGUUGGUAGAAGCACAGCAAAUUCACUGUUGACAUGAUAUAGCCUCAACAUCUGGAAGUGGUAAUCUGUGACUGUAGCUGGCCAUCCCCAUGGAUCUCAAGUUAUGGUUUGAGGAUUAUCAGGCAGGGACCAAAGCCUGGGGAUCUCUACAUUAUGCUUUUGCCCUGAUUACCCAGCAACCUGCAAUCUACAAUGGGGAUAAUGCAGUAAAGGCACAGAGUGGCUUUAAUUAAGAACUUCUGUUCUUGUUACAGUCUUCAAUGAAGGGAACAUGGAGAGCAUAACAGGAAUGCCCCUGUUGCUGCUUUCCAAAAGCUUUUCUUUUGCUAACCUUUCCCUGCGAAGGAAUAUAAAAUCUUUUCUUGCAUGAAGAUUUCAGGUACUAAUGUUUUCUGACUCAACUAGUUGAUUUUACUUCAUUAAAACCUCUUUGUUUCACAAAAAUAUAAGGAAAGUUUUGUCCCCAUUGCUGAAGAGCUGCCAUUGAUCCUUAAAAAAUCUAUAAUCUCUAUUGAAUCUAGAAGUUAGAAAUCUAAAUGGAUUAUAACAUCAUACUUUGAAAAUAUUUGUGAGCUACCUAGAUUUUCAUACUGCUAAUUGAAAUUAUUUCUUCCCAUAGAUUAAACCUAAUCUCACUAAAUUUAGCAAAAUGGUCCAGGCCUGGCUUCUCUUUGAAAAAGCAGAGUGUGAUACAAGGCAGAGCUUGCAGCAAUCCAUGGCUCCCUGUGAGCCAUCAUGAGAACAGAAUCACUGGUCUAAAAGGAACAAAGGGAUGUUCACUGUAUGCCUCUCAGCAGAGAGCAGCAGCAGCAGGUACCAGUACAGCCCUGACUGAAUCAGCCCAGUGUCCCUGAGCAGCUUAGACUGCUGGGUUCUUUGUAUCAGUCUUUCUUGAUCCGAUGAUUCCUCUAGUUGAGUAGCCGUGGAAUUCAAGCCUAAAGACAGCUCAUUCAUUUGCAUCCGUGGACACAGAAGGUUGCCAUAUCAUGUGUACCUUUUGCUGCUUAUUUAAUGAUAAAAUUUAAUGACUGAUCGGUUGCUUGUUGUUUAAAGGUUGUGAUUUUUGUUUUCAUACAGUUUUUUUUGAAGCUUCACAUUUGCGUGUAUCUAAUUCAGCUGAUGCUCAAGUCGAAGGGAUAGUCUGCCUUCCUAGGCUGCCCCCAGGGUGUCUCCAUUGCUCCCCGCUUUUCCCUUCAGUCGUCUUCACUUCCCUGUGCUGCUGCUUCACAUGCUACAUCUCAGGCUUAAAGAGUUUCUCUACUUUCAGUGAAAACAUUCCCUGAGGCCUUUCAGCAGGCCUCUAGUUACUUUAGGGAUUAAAAACUAUUGAUUAAAAGAAAGAAAAGGGGUCAGGCACAGUGGCUUAUGCCUGUAAUGCUAGCACUUUACAGGAGGCUGAGGUGGGAGGAUCACCUGAGGUUAGGAGUUCAAGACCAGCCUGGCCAACGUGGCAAAACCCCAUAUCUACUUAAAUAAAUAAAUAGAUUGAGAGAUAGAAGGACAAGGAUAGAACAGAGAGAAUUUAAAGUCCUGUUCCUGGUUUUUGUUUUGUUUUGUUUUGUUUUCUUUGAAAACUUAGAGACUGAUGUUCAUAUUUCAAACUAGUAAGAUGGUGAAAAUACUGUGAGGGUUUUUUUUUUUGAGACAGAGUCUCUGUUGCCCAGGCUGGAGUGCAGUGGUGUGAUCUUAGCUCACUGCAAACUCUGCCCACCCCUCCUCUCUUUUUCCCACCCUGCAUUCAAGCAAUUCUCCUGCCUCAACCUCCUGAGUAGCUGGGAUUACAGGUGCGCACCACAAUGCCCAGCUAAUUUUUGUAUUUUUAAUAGAGACGAGGUUUCAUUAUGUUGAUCAGGCUGGUCUCGAACUCCUGACCUCGUAAUCUGCCUGCCUCACCCUCCCUAAGAGCUGGGAUUACAGGCGUGAGCCACCAUGCCUGGCCAAGCUUGUUUUUUAAAAAUAUGAUUCUUUUUUAUUUUUUCUUUUUUUACUUCCAAGCAAAUAUAUUCUAUGAUAUAAAAUAUGAUUUUGGAUGGGGGUACUUUAUAAAGUAUCUCUUUAUGUGAAAGCACUUGUCAUAUCCAAACACAGCAUAUAUUCAACCUAACCAAAUAUGUUUACACUUUUUCUUUCAGGAGACAAGGAUUCUUUGGGUCGCUUUCAAAUGGGAUCUUGGUGUUACUACAUUAUGCCUAUCUAUUGCCCUUAUAAUUUCACUUGGGACCAGGACUUAUCAUUCUGCAAAUGCUUGUUAUGCCAUUCUCAAUCUAUUUCCCCCUACCUUUUCACAUGAUUUGUGGUUAAUAGGACUCAAUAGAGUAAAAUUGCACAGUAGAAAAAAAGAAAGGAAAAAGCAGAAAGCCAGCUGGUAAUGUGUAUUGCAACUGGGGUGCUAUAAAAUUAGUAAGAUGAUGCAAUGAGAAUUUCCACUUUUGUAUUUCCUGACCUGCCUACUCAAAGUGGCUUUUAUAUCAAGGAAUGAUUUUCCUCGUUUUUUAAUAAAGGAAACCAAUUUGUGCUCAUGGAAGAAAGGUUCCUUUGCCAGCAGACUUGAAGUGAAUCUUACAGGAGCAAUGAAAGUAUUGCAUUUAUUAGCGUCUGACCCAGAGGAGGUUCAUUGAAAACCUUCGCUUGUUUUCAACGGAAUCCUUGUAGAUUUACAUAAUUAGAACCCUGAAGAACAGGCCCUACUGUCUAAAAAUGGCUUUUAUUCUUCUAAAGACAUAUAAACGGGUGUUUUAUAGAUGGGAAGACAUGACCUUAGAAAGGAGGGAGUUUUCAGAGGAUUUGCCAGGCUGUCAGGGGCUCUGCCUCCAGGCCCAAUGUGGCAGCGUGGCCUCAGGGCCUUCACCUCCCUACUCAAGGGCUGCAUGGAAGCCAACUGUCCAGGGAGUUUUAAAAAUCUUUUAAGGUCAGACCAAUUUGAGGGAUUUUUAAAAAGUGUCUAAAUGCCUCAUGAUUUCAGAAGGGUUUGCUAUGUGUAAUCCCAACUACUGUUUUCUUAAGAGUAGCAGAGGAUUAAAAAAAGCUCUCCAUGAAUGGUAUAACCAGGCUUCCUGGCUAGCCUGACUCAAGCAAUGUAAGAGAGAAUUAUUCUGUUUUCAUAAUUCAUAAGUGUAGGGGCAUGCAUCAGCAUAAAAACAACCUAUUAGAGAAAAAUAUCUAAUCGAUUACCUUUAUCACCUAUUAAGGUUUUAUAUUGUGCUUUAAGGUUUACAAAAUAAUUUAUCUCAUACUUUAUCUUAAUUUCUUGACAGUCUGUGAGGUGAGGUGGUAGUUUUAUCACCAUUUUACAAAGUGGGAAAUAAAGGUGGAGAACAGUCCUUUUAGGAACCUGGUUAUCCCCUUUGUAUAAUAAAACUUCUGAAGCUCGGAGUUUUUCAUUGGUUUACUGAAGGCUUAGUUAUGAGAGCCAGAAUUCAGCCCCAGGUCUGUGUAACUUCAAUUUGCACACUCAUUCCCAUUAUUACCCACAUGCUGUCCCUUUUAUUUUUAAUUUAUUAUGAAUUCAUUAAUUUAUUAACUUGGUGAUUCAACUUUAUUAGAUUCUGGUCGCUAAAGGCUUUAGUAACUUCAGAGUAAAACUUGAGAGAUGAGAUGUGAAAUGCAGCUUUUCUUGAGAGUUCCUUUUUCUGUGACAUUCAUCAACACUUCAUUGAGACUUGAAGCUUCCUCUGGCUGCUCUACCUUCAAGAGGCUUAGCUUUAGUCACUGAGAAAGACAAGGAAACUAAGAUAGAGUAUAGUAGCUUCCUCGGGUCUUAGGGAUCAGAGUCACAGCUAGUUACAGCUAGCCCUUUGUUAUUGAAAGAGGGGGAGCUAACAGUCUCACUAUCAAAAUUAAGACUAGAGAUGGCAAUAGGAGCUAGUGUCAGAAAAGCUUAAGGCAAAACAUAAAGUGAGGCUAGAACGAAGCUGGAGAAUGAGCAGGGGCCUUGGGCAGCACUCAGAACCUGGCUGGGGACCUGAAACUACAUGAGAUAAAAGAAUGGAGGGGUCCUAGCAGUCAGAGGUGAGAAGAACAGAGGCAGCUCAGCAGUUCCUGGUGAGCCUUGACAAGCCAGCUCAGCCAAAGUUUUGGGUGGGAGCCAGUCAUGGCACAGUUGAGUGAAGGAAGAGCAGUUUCAGGCACCCAGAACCAGACUCCCAUAACUCGUUUUCCACCUUAAGAGCCACCCAUUCCAUCCAAACCAUUUGCAAAAUUCUGCUAACAGAGAACCUCCCAGUAUACUGGCCACUCCUCAUCAUGCUUGUCUUUACUCUCUAAGAUGAAGCUGCCUUUCAAUGACGAGAUGGCAAACAGGUGGGUCCAGAAGAGGGGAAAAGAAGGAAGUCUGUAAAAUCAAAAUGCUGAAGAAUCUGCACCAAAUAAAGCCUUCUUUCCUUCUUCCUUU